CAAGUCGAACGCGGUUAGUAGCAAUACUAACUGAGUGGCGAACGGGUGAGUAACACGUGGGUGACCUACCUUCGAGUGGGGGAUAACGUCCCGAAAGGGACGCUAAUACCGCAUAACAUCCUGCCUUUGAACAGGCGGUGAUCAAAGCCGGGGACCGUAAGGCCCGGCGCUUGAUGAGGGGCCCGCGUCUGAUUAGCUAGUUGGUGAGGUAAUGGCCCACCAAGGCGACGAUCAGUAUCCGGCCUGAGAGGGCGGACGGACACACUGGGUCUGAGACACGGCCCAGACUCCUACGGGAGGCAGCAGUGGGGAAUUGUUCACAAUGGGCGCAAGCCUGAUGACGCAACGCCGCGUGGAGGAUGAAGGUCUUCGGAUUGUAAACUCCUGUUGCCCGGGACGAAAAGCUCUGACCUAACACGUCGGAGUCUGACGGUACCGGGUGAGGAAGCCCCGGCUAACUCUGUGCCAGCAGCCGCGGUAAUACAGAGGGGGCAAGCGUUGUUCGGAAUUACUGGGCGUAAAGGGCGCGUAGGCGGCCUUCUAAGUCGAACGUGAAAUCCCCGGGCUUAACCCGGGAACUGCGUCCGAUACUGGAAGGCUUGAAUCCGGGAGAGGGAUGCGGAAUUCCAGGUGUAGCGGUGAAAUGCGUAGAUAUCUGGAGGAACACCGGUGGCGAAGGCGGCAUCCUGGACCGGUAUUGACGCUGAGGCGCGAAAGCCAGGGGAGCAAACGGGAUUAGAUACCCCGGUAGUCCUGGCCCUAAACGAUGAAUGCUUGGUGUGGCGGGUAUCGAUCCCUGCCGUGCCGAA
rnacentral:rRNA from 1 species